AUUUAAGAACCAAACCAGACCUGAUGUUUCAGAUCUGGAGGACUGUUCCCAUCCAAUUACAACACUGCAAGUCACACAUUUUGAUCUUUAAAACCUUGGCAAUGUCCCUCCAGAUCUGUAUUCUCUUUGAAAAAAUAUUGCCUGAAAUAUUUCUGCAGCAAUAGUUCAGGCACAAAUUUCCUUUUGUCAGUGAUGUCUGCUCAAGUAAUCAUGACAGCUUCAUACUGUCUUCAUUGAAAGGGUUGUAUCUGUCAGAUACUGAGCCGUACAAAAUACUGCCUUCUGGAAAAGUGUGUUAUGUGCAGAUUUAUGCAGGGCAGCUCACCAAGCAAAAUUUCUGUGGCAGGGGAUGAAUUCAAGUGGGUCUUGUCCUUAGAUGUUUGAAGAAUUUGAAUCUGUUUCCUGACAAGUGGCUACUUCAUCUAACCCCCCCACCCCCAUCACCAAAUACUGCAAAAUUAUAAAUCAGGCCUAUAAUCAAUCAAAAUAAAGCAAAUUAUGCUCUUCAAAUGCAGAGUUACGUUGAACAGCACUGUAGCUGGUAUAUGGAAAUGGAUAUACGUAGUGUAGGGGUAAGUCAUGCCCAUACCUGUCAGUGGCUGUGAUCUGGAGGAACACUGUCUGGGCUGUGGGGCUGCUGCUGUGGUGUUGUCCUGCACCCACACUGUGUUCUGUGUCCUCGUGACAAGGGACAAGGAUCCCUUUUGGUCUGGCUCCUUUGCAUGGCACUGCAAUGGCUGUGGCUUCCUUCUGAUGGUGCCCAGUGGGGUGCAUGGGCCAUUGCAACCCACUGGUGCCCUGUCAAGGGGAGACCUUCUCCAUUGCCCCAUACUGUGUGGGCCUCCUGUGUGAGGGUGGAAUGGGUGCAUGGAUUUUCAGGCUAGUGACCUCAAUCUUCACAGCUUUGCUUAGCUGAGAAAAGCGUUGCAGCACAGAUCAGCUCUGUCUGAGCAAUUUUGGGCAGUGCUCUCUGAUGGCCAUUGUGAAGAGCUUUUCUUGCACGCCUUCCCUGUACGUGCUAACAUGAAGAACUUCUCAGCAGAGAUUUUCACAGGUUCCUGAGGUGUUUGGAAAGCAACGGGAUGUCUGUGUGCAGUAUGGGAAUCUUAAUCGAUGAAAACGUUCAGUGAGUCACUGCGGUGCUGAGCCGUGAGUACUGCAUCCUGUUUGCCCAGCUGGCAGAUUUUGAGGCCAGAGAUAGUUAUGGGCAUUGAGUGUGACUCAUACAUAAAAAGGACCCUAGAAUUUCAUUCUUAACGAUUUCCACAUCCAGCUCAAGAAACUUAAGCAGAAAUAGAGCAUCUGCUUCCAAAAGGCAUUCAGCUUCUGCAGAACAGCAAGAUCCUCCCCUUUGAAGACACUGGCAGAAGUGCCACUGGCUUCAGAAGGGCCAGAGGUUUCCAACUGGGCUUCCAAGUGACCCAGAAUUUACCACUUCUCUCAAUUCUCUGUCUGGGUCAUUUGGAAGCCCUCAUGCUGAAAUUUACCUUACUGGGGCUGUUCACUAGAGGAAGACAGACAAGAUGUGACACUGGUUGUUUGUUUUUUAAACUCUUUAAAAAUAAUAAUAAUAAAAAAAUCUUUUUAAGCUUCACUGGUUGCGAUGAUGUUGUCACUGGGCACAGUGUUUGCAUAUGCUCUUCCCUUGCUUUUUAAUUUGUUCUUAAGAGUGGGCUUCUCUUGAUUGUACAGGUUUUUAUUUUUCAGAACACUUGAAGAAUGCGGGCCCCAAAGUUUUAAUCUUCGGGGUGCAAAAUCAGCCAAGAACAAAGCAUAUACGGUGAGUAUGGGGGAGGGAUGUGUCCAGCUCUGUACGGUGUACAAGGUUUUCCUAACAAAGUGGAGUAACACAUUGCUAAAUGAGGACUUUAAUGCUGUAGUUGCAUUACGUUGUUUGUUGAUGAAUUCACAAGACAUACAUUAUUUUAGCACUGUUAUUACUACUAGUUUACAAAGCCAUAUUUAAAAUUGUACACUUAAUUGUAACAUAACUUCAAAUUGUGUACUGUGUUGAUUCCUGUAUGUAUAUAUGAAAAUCUGUAUAUUUUGUCUUUAUGCCAUAUGUCAUUGGUGUGUAAAUUACAAGUAAUGGAU
ensembl:lncRNA